CUUUAAACCCACUAAAAACCCUUUCUUCUUCUUCUUAUAACCUAGAUCCCAAAAACCCUAAAACACCCCAUUUCCAGCUGCACCCCAUCAGAAAACAGAGAGAGACACCCUAAACACCUUAAGAGAGCUUCCCCCAUAAACAAAAAACCUAGCAGCCGCAGAACCCCAACCUAGACCUCUCUUCUUUUUCUUCACAUCUCACAACCAAGGAGACAGAGAAAACCUAGAAAAAACCUAGCAGAACACACCACAAAAGCCAGCCGCAACAUACACCUAUAUAAACAAACACAUACACAAAGAGCGCCGGAAAUCAGCCACGCACCAGGUUUUCAAGCUUUUUAGCUGCCGCUGCCGGAAAUCGGCCAGCUCUCACCCUUUCCAUGACUGCCGCUGUCGGAGGUGAUGACCAGCGACGGCCAUGACUGUCACUCCUGCGCCUAACCGUUAUUCCUGUCAUUUAUUUCCCCUCUACUGUCACUGUUUCACCGGAGUCGCACCAUCGACGUCGAAUGAACAAAAAACUGGCGAUAGUCAUCGAAACUGCUGAAAUCUAUUUCUGCCUAGUUGUAUCGAAAUUGAGAUGUUGAUGUCGUUUGAGGUCGUAGUUUGAGGUUUCCAGGCAGAAUCGAGGUUCCGACGUGGUCUUUGUUAACGGGUCUGUUCGUGUUUAGCUUCGUCGGCCCCAAUUUUCUUUGUAAACGGGCAGGAGGCUCUUUGAUAAAUUGAAAGCUACAAAAGGUAUUUGUCCCUGCAAAAUGACAUAAUUAAGAGCAGACAAAGUUUACACACCUUCUACUUGCCUGCAAAACCAUUUCUUGCAAGCCGUGUGGUCUCAAAUUUGUACCAUGCUGCUACUGUGCCACGAACACAACCAACCCUAGAGAGUGAAUACGGGCCUUAGUCAAUUCAUUCUAUACAAGCUGCCUCACACAUUCACAUUCACAUUUACAUUCAUGUUUCAUUUGUUGCAGUUGGAUAUUCUUCAACACACCUCUCUUUCUCAGUGUUUUCUUUUUCUUUUUGUUGCCUUAUUGAAUUUUUUUUUACUAGGUUUCUGGUAGAAGUGUGUGUAGUUCAAGGUUAUCCUGUAAAUGAUAAUCUGUUACUCUCAGGGAAAGCAUUCGUAUUUGUGAUGAUAAAUUGUGGUGUGUGAUGAUAAAUUGUGGUGUGCAUUGUAGCAUAAGGUGAGUUUAAUUGUGAUGA